rnacentral:lncRNA from 1 species
ACUUUUGUUGGAGCCUGAAUGCAAGAGCCAUUCUCACUGGGAUGCCACAGCUCUGGAGACUUCUUAUAGAUGUUGUUUGGAACACUCCAGGCUUGGAGAUGGGCCUUUAGACACUGCCUGUAGUACUGCUUAGCAACAGCUCUACAGACAUAAAGAGAUUGCAGUGGCUGCUCCUUCCUGGCUCCACCAUUCAGCAAGAGCUCCACAGGAUGAAGAGAUCCUCCUAGCUUGGCGGAAUACUCUGCUCUGAUGGAAGUACCAUCCUGGUCCAAACAUGAAAGAAUUCCCAACAUCAAGAUUGAUUGAAACAUAUUCAAUGGAUCAUUUGCUCCAGAAGAAGCUGGUUGCCAUGUCUUGAGGACAGUAAACCCUCUGGGGAGGUUCCUGUGGUAAGGAACAAGGGCUCCUGGCAAUAGCCUCUGAGUGAGCCACCUUGAAAAUGGAUUGUCCAGCCCCAGUCAAGCUUUCAGAUGACUGUAGCUCCUGCCAAUGUCUUCACCACAACCUCAUGAGAUCCCAAGCUACAACCACUCAGAACUUCAUCUUUUGGGAAGCACCAGGGAGAGCUGCCUGUGCCUGGCAGAAGCUGCCCAUGCCCCACUGAUACCCCACAGUACUUCCUGUUCUGCUUAGUACUCCUGCUUCUUUCUACAAACAACUGUGAUUCUCUACCUGGGAGCUUCCUCUGGCCACAGGAGCCUGCUCACCUGAUUGGGACACCCUAGCAGUACUGGCUCAUAGAUGGAAGGGACUUGCCUUGUCGCUGAUGAGACUUUCGACUUGGACUUUUGAGUCAAUGCUGGAAUGAGUUAAGACUUUGGGGAACUGUUGGAAGGGUGUGAUUGUGUUUUGAAUUGUGAGGACAUGAGAUUUUGAAGAGGCUAAUGGCAGCGUCCCCACCUAAAUCUCUUCUUGAAUUGUAGUUCCCAUAAUCCCCACGUGUCGUGGGGUGGAGCCGGUGGAGAUAAUUGAAUCAUGGGAACACUUUCCCCCAUGCUGUUAUUGUGAUUGUGAAUUCUCACGAGAUCUGAUGGUUGUAUAAACGCCUUCCCUCUUCGCUGGGCACUCAUUUUUCUCCUUCCUGCCACCAUGUGAAGAAGGAUAUGCUUGCUUCUUGUGCCAUGAUUACAAGAACACACUCAGAAAUUUUCUCAACACAGUUUCUAUGCAGAGAAGAGAUGUGGGACAGAUUUGAACUGCUGUCAUAUUUGUAUGAACCCAAGACAUUUUCCAAGACCAAGAGGGAUAAAGACAGCAAUUUCUAUGACUGGCAUUUUACGUGCAUGCACUGUUUCCAAGUGUUCUUGUGUUCUGUGCCUUAAACAUUCUGUGUUGCAACUUUAUGAAUUGAAUUAAAGAUAAUCCCAAGCCCCCAAUUGUCUCAAAAAGUGAAAAAGUAAAUGUUAUAGAAAGAAAAGCGGGAAAAACUUUAAGCAUGAAAUAAAAGAUGGGUUGUGAUAAAAGAGGACUGAAGAAGGAAAAGGAAUGAAAGGUUCUGCCAUCCUUCAUGGCAGCCCACUCCACUUGGUAUGAGAUACUGCUCCCUUGGCUGAAAGUUAACUGCUGUACUCCCUCCACUUUCUAUAAAUGACUCCCUGUGCCUUUCCUUCACCACACAACUCACACUCUCUUCCUUCCUAGUGAGUCCACUAAGGCUUCACUGCAUUAUUACAUUUAUUUCAUUUAGGAAAAACUGACUUUAUUUUCCUUCAAAUUGUUUUUUAUUGUUUAUAUGAGCUUGGUUUUAUUGUCAUUCUAUUUUUCUCCAUGAAAAUAGAGAAAAAUAGGGUCGAAAGGUUAGGUUGGGUGGAAAGGAAUUAUAUUUUUUCUCACUAAAAUUGAUGUAAAUAUCGUUUUCAAUUGAAUGAUUUUACACAGUGGCACAGUUUCAGGUAUGUUGCUAAGCAGGAAAGUUGUUAACCAAAGCAUGAAUGUAUUAAGGAGAUGUAUGCAGAAUGACAUGCAAGGUUAUCUAUGAUUGCUGAGUGAGAAAGAGCAAGUUGCUGAGUAUUAUAUAAGUAUGAUCUCACUUUUGUAAAAAAAAAAAAAAAAAAAGGCCUGGACUGAUCUGAAAUGACCCUAUUAAUAACAAUUAUGUCCAGGUCUGUAUUGCAUACUUGUCAUUCAUUACAGGAUCUUGAGACACAAUGCAAAGGAUCACAUCGCAGCUCUGUAACUUGUUAACUAUAAGAUUUUGAGUAACAUAACACCUUACUCCUUAAAAUUGCUUAAAAAAAAUCUGAACAUCAGGAAUAUUCUACUUCACAGGGUCGUUGUGAUAAUUAAAUGUAGUAAUCAAUGACAAUAGUGCCAGAUACAGUAGAUAGCCUACACUUUGCAGCUACUAUUUCUAUCUAUCAUCCAUCUAUUAAUAUAUAUCAUCUAUCUUUAACUUAUCAUCUAUCUUGUUCCAGUUUUUUAAAAUGAACAUGUAUUAACUUUGUAAAAAAUUAAGGCUAUAAGAUGUGCUGAGCUUUUGGAAUAGAUUUUCCUGUACUAUAUAUGACUGCCAGUGGGAGAAUUUGAAUAAAUGUGUAAAUUUGACUAA